ensembl:misc_RNA 7SK 7SK RNA
UCAACAUAGCUAAUGCACACGCGAUUGAAGAGGACGACCUUCUGCAAUAGAGAAGGACUGUUCUUCAUUCAAGGGUGUAUGAGUAGCUGCACUCCCCUACUAGAAACUCCAAACAAGUUCUCAAAAUAGCGAAAUACUAUUUACACUGUGAACCACAGU